rnacentral:tRNA from 1 species
GACCCUAUAGCUCAGCAGGAUAGAGCAAGUGCCUCCUAAGCACUAGGUCGGGGGUUCAAUUCCCUCUAGGGUCG